CAAGCGGGAGGCACAAUGCUAAUGACUCUGGCUCCACGUGGCGACUAUUCAGAGCUGCAAUGUUCUCUCUGCCACAUUAAUCAGAGCAACACAUUCCAAGGUGUUAACAGAUGAUUUUCAUUGUUUUCUCUGGGCUUAUCUGUGUUUCCUAUUUUUUUCAAUGAAUAUCAAUUAUUUGCAUGAUUUUAAAGAGCAAUAAAAAUAAAUCAACUCCAGACUGUUUGUACUUUUUCUUGUGCUCAUC
rnacentral:lncRNA from 1 species